GACGGUUUGGCCGAGUGGUCUAAGGCGCCAGAUUUAGGCUCUGGUCUGAAAGGGCGUGGGUUAAAUCCCACAGCCGUCA
rnacentral:tRNA from 1 species